rnacentral:lncRNA from 1 species
GCAUUACUACGCUCAGUGUUAAGAAAAAUAUGGUAUGUUUGAUUAAAUAACAGAGAAAAAAAGCAUUUCAGGAUUGAUGCAGUUAGGAUGAAGAAUUUAUUGUAUAUACAGUAAAGCAAUUCUACUGUAGAUGUACUUCUUGUUUAAAGAAAAUGAAUACAGUAAUCAAAAUCGUUUUAGCAUGGAAACUACAGCACAGACUGAAACUUGACUAAACCAGAAAUCAGUUAUUUGACUUGAAAGAACACAGGACCUGGAACAACAGAUCACAGGUUGCAUCAUUAACCAGGACGGUAAAAAAACUGUACAGUACAAGCAACACAUUACAAUAAGUUAUGACCAAUAAGGCAGUCUCUCUCAUUUAGGACAAAAGGGAUAAAGGGAAAGGUAUUAAAAUCUCAUAAAUCCACCGUAUCUCUUUUCCAUCUCUGGGACCUCUUUGGAAUAAGUUUCCCCAUCUUCUUCAGAAGGGAGAAUGGAAUCGGCGAAGCGCUUGAGAAACCCGCCGUACCGUUUCUGGUAAUCCAGCCACCACUCUGGCCUGCCCACUCUUCUCAUGAAACCACCGUAUCUCUUUUGCAGCUCUUUGGCUUCAUCUUCCAGUUCUGGGCUGCGCUUUACGCUUCUCAUGAAACCGCCGUAUCUUUUGCUGACGUCUCCAUCGUUUUCAUUUACUCCUCGGUAAUGCGCCGCUUCAGGGUUAUCCCCUGCUCCUAAAAGCUCCUUCAGCAGAUCAGAGGAAUUAGCCAGGGCAUCGUCGUCUGAGUCCUUCUUCAUGAAGCCUCCGUACCUCUUAGCCAGGAUCUCUCCUCCAUUAGCUUCAUCCUCUGACUCUGGGUGGUAGAGCUCAUCCAUUUUCUUCAUGAAUCCCCCGUAUCUCUUCAUGAAGCCCCCGUAUUUCUUGGCAAGCAGAUGGUUCUCAUCCAGCUCUUUUUUGUCUCCUGGAGCGGCGUUUCCAUCCUCAGGCAGGUCCAGCUUUGUCAGCUGCAGCAGCUCCUUGCAGGUCUCCCAGGCCUUGGCAGAAGGAAGCUUUCCUUCACAUUCUAGUGUACAUGCCUCGGGAGAAGCUGAAAUGUCAGAGGGAUGCUUAAAGGCACGCUGCAGCGGGUGGAUGUCGGCGCGGGGCCCCAGGCGGUAGGCGCAGGCCGCGCAGUCCCGCCCGCAGUCCGCCCGCGCCCGCGGCAGCAGGCAGGUGCUGAGCGCCAGCAGCGAGCAGCCGAGCCGCAGCAGCAACGCCAUGGGGACAGCGCUCCCCUCGGGACUCGCGGCGGUCGUUGGGCAGCGCCUCGCUGCUGGAGCCUCGGCGUCGAGCCGCGGGUGUUUGGAGCG